rnacentral:rRNA from 1 species
CCCUUAGAUGUUCUGGGCUGCACGCGCGCUACACUGAUGCGCUCAACAAGUUUAUGACCUUGCCCGGAAGGGUUGGGUAAUCUUCUUAGCACGCAUCGUGAUGGGGAUAGAUUAUUGCAAUUAUUAAUCUUCAACGAGGAAUUCCUAGUAAGCGCGAGUCAUCAGCUCGUGCUGAUUACGUCCCUGCCCUUUGUACACACCGCCCGUCGCUGCUACCGAUUGAGUGGUCCGGUGAAUUAUUCGGACCGGUGGACUGUGGGGAAACCCGCGGCCUGCUGGGAAGUCUUGUGAACCUUAUCACUUAGAGGAAGCAGAAGUCGUAACA